rnacentral:rRNA from 1 species
UGAGUACGAGAUGCUACGGCAUCGAAGCAGUCUAUGUCAUACUUCCAAGAAAAGCUUGCAAUGUCAUAAACAAAUAAUGCCUGUACCAUAACCGACACAGGUGGGUAGGUAGAGUAUACUAAGGGGCGCGAGAUAACUCUCUCUAAGGAACUCGGCAAAAUGACUCCGUAACUUCGGGAGAAGGAGUGCCUUAUUUUUAUAAGGUUGCAAUAACAAGAUCCAAGCAACUGUUUACCAAAAACACAGGUCUCCGCUAAGUCGUAAGACGAUGUAUGGGGGCUUACGCCUGCCCAGUGCCAGAAGGUUAAAGAAGUUGGUUAGCAUUAGCGAAGCUGAUAACUGAAGCCCUGGUGAACGGCGGCCGUAACGAUAACGGUCCUAAGGUAGCAAAAUUCCUUGUCGGGUAAGUUCCGACCCGCACGAAAGGCGUAAUGAUUUGGAUACUGUCUCGGAGAGGGGCUCGGUGAAAUAGACUUGUCUGUGAAGAUGCGGACUACCUGCACCUGGACAGAAAGACCCUAUGAAGCUUUACUGUAACUUGAGAUUGAAAUUGGACUUUAUCUGCGCAGUAUAGGUGGGAGACGUUGAAAAUAUUCUUGCGGGAAUAUUGGAGUCAUCAGUGAGAUACCACUCUUAUAAUGUUAGAUUUCUAACUUUGUAUCAUUAUCUGGUCAAAGAACAGUUUCAGGCGGGCAGUUUGACUGGGGCGGUCGCCUCCCAAACGGUAAGGGAGGCGCACAAAGGUUUCCUCUGAACGUGUAGAAAUCGUAUCUAGAGUGUAAAGGCAUAAGGAAGCUUGACUGUGAGACCUACAAGUCGAGCAGGGACGAAAGUCGGUCUUAGUGAUCUGACGGUGCUGAGUGGAAAGGCCGUCACUCAACGGAUAAAAGUUACUCUAAGGAUAACAGGCUGAUCUCCCCCAAGAGUUCACAUCGACGGGGAGGUUUGGCACCUCGAUGUCGGCUCAUCGCAUCCUGGGGCGGUAGUACGUCCCAAGGGUUGGGCUGUUCGCCCAUGAAAGCGGUACGCGAGCUGGGUUCGGAACGUCGUGAGACAGUUCGGUCCAUAUCCGGUGUAGGCGUUAGAAUAUUGAGAGGAGCCUUCUUUAGUACGAGAGGACCGAGAAGGACAUACCUCUGGUGUACCAGUUAUCGUGCCAACGGUAAACGCUGGGUAGCCAUGUAUGGAGAGGAUAACCGCUGAAAGCAUCUAAGUGGAAGCCCAUCUCAAGAUAAGUAUUCC